rnacentral:rRNA from 1 species
GACGAACGCUGGCGGCGUGCCUAAUACAUGCAAGUAGGACGCAGUUGCGAACGGGUGAGUAACGCGUAGGUAACUAUCUAUUAGAGGGGGAUAACUAUUGGAAACGAUAGCAAAUACCGCAUACUAGUAGAUGGACCUGCGUUGUAUUAGCUAGUGGGUAGGGUAAUGGCCUACCUAGGCAACGAUACAUAGCCGACCUGGAGUGGGUGUGGGCGACACCGGGACUGAGAGGGCGCCGAGACGCCUACGGUAAGCAGUGGUAGGGGAACUGCGGCAAUGGGGAGAACCCUGACCAGGCAACGGCGCGGAAGUGGAGAGGGUUUUCGGAGCUUAAGGCUCGUUUGUUAAGGAAGCGGUACUUAACCAAGAAGGGCCGGCUAACUACGUGCCAGCAGCCGCGGUAAUUC